AUGCUUGGGAUCACAGUUGACAGUUGCUCAAACGAAAUGUCACAGCUAAGAGCCUCCUGUUGCAUUUCCUGGAAUGUAGUCGAUGCUUCUCGGUGGCAGGCCACUGUGCCCCCAACCCUCAGCCCUGGGAUGUCCAGUGGUUGGUUCAUCACAUCUUCUCAUGGGUCUCCAGGCAGCCCUUUUAAAGCUCAUUUCAGGGAAUUUUCACUCUCUCCUGGUUUCUUCAAGUUUGCAUCUUCCCACCUGGGGUUCUGUUCAUCUAACAAUCUACCUCCAUUACAAGAAAGUAAGUACAAAAUAUUAAAAAAAAAAUCCUCCUGAGGCUGGAAAUGUAGUUCUGUGGUAGAGCAUGAGUUUACCAUGCAUGAGGCUCUGAGUUCAAUCCCCUACACCAAACAAACAAAGUAUUUCCCUGUCUCAAAAGCAUUUCCGUCACAUGAUAAGUAAGCAUACAAUCCAGGUUUAUACAGCUGAGGACAUUUGCUGUCACAAACCCCCAAAAUUUGAGAGCUAUAAAAACCCUGAUUUAACAGAUGAUGAAAGACCAGAAGACUAAGGAAGACCGUUAUAUUCUAAAAUCUAUUUCUCCUUUCACAAUAAUAGAAUUAUAGCUUAAUGUGGCCCUAUGACUACAUUCUCACUAAUGAAAAGAGACAGAGACAAUUUACGCAAUUUUGAAGUCAUUUGCUUAAAAGGAAGUUGCUGGUUAAUUCCUUCUCCUUCCUGCUUCUGUUGAGCAGAAAAUCAGACCUGCCAGCAAUGCAGCUGGGGCAGUUCAGACAAAAACGACACCCUUGCCACCUUACUAUUCUUUUUUGUUGUAGUUGUUUUGAGACAGGAUCUUGCUAUAUAGUUCAGGCUGGCCUUGAACUCACUAUGUAGUGAUUCUCCUGCCUCAGCCUCCAAGUGUUGGGAUUACAAGCACGAGC
rnacentral:lncRNA from 1 species